AAUUGUGGGGAUGGCUCUGGACCUGGCAGUAUUUUGUUCUGUUGUCCAUAGGGUCGCUAUGAGUGGGAACCAACUUGACGGCACCUAACAACAAUACUUAGCCCUAGCUCCCUUUCUCCUCUUACUCUCUACAUUUUCCCUAGGCAACCUCACCCAAGACCAUGGCUUCCCUUCCUGUUUGUAUGUCUAUUUGAAUGUUUCUGCCUGUGCAGCUUCAGAGGAGAGGGAGGAAUGGGGCAGGGAGGGAGGAAGGAGGACAUAUGCCUUACCCGUCAGAUCAGUAGAAUCAACGCUGGUGAACAAAGGGGCGACAGAUGUCUCAGCCAGAUUGCUCCACAUCUGGAUCAGGAGUUUAAGUAUGAUUUGAAAGGCACCGGGCCAAAACAAUGUUUGAGGAAGUUGACUCGUGCUGUGACUUCACAGAAAAGAAUGGAGGAAGGAUAAGCUAUGGCAGCAGUUCAGCCACAAGGUGACAGUACUCCAAGUUUGUUUGGGAAACUAUUGGAGACAGUCUGUUGCACUAUUAACCGAGCCAGCAAAACAAAGAGAUAACCCCAUCAUGGUUGUAAGAUGGACACAGCUGUUCAUGCAUCACCUCUGAACAGGACAGUACUUGGAGGAAGAGACUAUUUCUUUCUGUGUGUCUCUCUUGGGAGAGGGGAACCUUUCCUAGAAGCAGCCCAAAUUUCCUUUCAUGCCUCAUUGGCCAGAUUACAUCACAUGUCCAUGCCUAAACCAACCAUUGACAAUAUAAUUACUAAGACCAAUCAGGAUGCAGCCCUCAGACCUGUCUGAGACAUGUGGUGCAUGGAAAACAAUGGAUUUCUGAACAAAAUCAAGGCUGCACAAGAAGGUACAGAGAGAAUUGGAGUGAACACUGUGAUGUGUUGGAGUGAGGAGAGACAAGACAGGAGACCAACUGGGAAGCCUGAGAUUCCAAGCAUGAGGAAUUCAAGGAUUAAGAAGCAAUACUGUACAACAAAACAGCACAAGACAUGCUCCACCAGUGAAGUGAUGAAAGAACAAGUGAGCAAUAGAGACAAUAAAUGCUGCUAGAUUUGUGGGACUUCUUUGUGCCUGGAGUUGUCAGGAAAGACUUGAUGGGGAAGCAGCAACUUGAAGUGGACUUGAAUUAUGGACAGUACUUGCAGAGGAGAAUAGAAAUGGUG